AUUGAACGCUGGCGGCAGGCCUAACACAUGCAAGUCGAGCGGAGCGGCGGACGGGUGAGUAAUGCCUAGGAAUCUGCCUGUUCGUGGGGGAUAACGUCCGGAAACGGGCGCUAAUACCGCAUACUCUCAGCUGAGCCUAGGUCGGAUUAGCUAGUUGGGGGGGUAAAGGCCUACCAAGGCGACGAUCCGUAACUGGUCUUAGAGGAUGAUCAGUCACACUGGAACUGAGACACGGUCCAGACUCCUACGGGAGGCAGCAGUGGGGAAUAUUGGACAAUGGGCGAAAGCCUGAUCCAGCCAUGCCGCGUGUGUGAAGAAGGUCUUCGGAUUGUAAAGCACUUUAAGUUAGGAGGCGUUACCAACAGAAGAAGCACCGGCUAACUGCGUGCCAGCAGCCGCGGUAAUAC
rnacentral:rRNA from 1 species